rnacentral:misc_RNA from 1 species
GAACGCACAUUGCGCCCUCUGGUAUUCCGGAGGGCAUGCCUGUUCGAGCGUCAUUUGCUAAACUCAAGCCUACUUGUAGGCUUGGUCUUGGGUGCUGUCCUCUCUGGAGGACACACCUCAAAUGCAACGGCGACACUGCCUGGCUUCAAGCGUCUAGGAAACUUCAUCGCUUCUGUCAGAUAAAUGUCUGCCUCUCAACCCCAAUUUAUAUUCUGGGUUGACCUCGGAUCAGGUAGGGAUACCCGCUGAACUUAAG